GUUGAGCCGAGCUCUCCAGAGCCCUUCCACUCCUCCCACCUGUCUCUCUGCUGGGUGGACUCUGACUGGCCUCUCGGCACCACCAGGGCUUCCAGGGGGGCCCUGAACCCCCAAAGUCAUGUCCCGUGAGGCCCAGAGAAGGAGGACUCACCCCUCAAGGGACGUGGGUCCCCACCCCCGGCCAGGAUGGGCUGAGAUGAACAAAAGGAUGUGCCUGGAACCCAGAGGGUCUGGAGGGACCAGGCAGCUGACCAGAGGACACUGAGCGAGAUCUCUCAAGGAGGCAUCCUGGGGAAGGAGGUGGUCCAGCCUCUGGGGGCCUGUGAACUGAGAGGGAGCCACCCUGGGGUGGGCAGCUCAGAGUGCUAUCAAUGGCCCUGGUGAUGAUCAUUUAUGAAGGACUUCCUUCCAGCUGGUCACUGA